UAAGGAAUAUUGGUCAAUGGACGCAAGCCUGAACCAGCCAUCCCGCGUGCAGGAAGACGGCCCUAUGGGUUGUACACUGCUUUUCCAGGGGGAGAAUUUUUCUGUCGUGACAGGAAUUGACGGUACCCUGGGAAUAAGCAUCGGCUAACUCCGUGCCAGCAGCCGCGGUAAUACGGAGGAUGCGAGCGUUAUCCGGAUUUAUUGGGUUUAAAGGGUGCGUAGGCGGAUAGAUAAGUCAGUGGUGAAAACCUGCAGCUUAACUGUAGACUUGCCGUUGAUACUGUCAGUCUUGAGUAUGGUCAAGGUAGGCGGAAUGUGUAAUGUAGCGGUGAAAUGCUUAGAUAUUACACAUAAGACCGAUUGCGAAGGCAGCUUGCUGGGCCAUUACUGACGCUGAUGCACGAAAGCGUGGGGAUCGAACA
rnacentral:rRNA from 1 species